CGGGACGUACUGCUAUUGUUGUUAUGCUACAAGCUAAAGAGACACGGAAGUAGCGGCAGGAAGCGGCUUUUGCAGCAAAAUGACUGAGGCGUACCAGAUGAUGAUGUGAACGUGAAUACGAUGGAUGCUUCUGUGCUUUUUAAAAUAAAUAAAUCUGUUCUCUAAACA